rnacentral:rRNA from 1 species
UACGGAGGAUCCAAGCGUUAUCCGGAUUUAUUGGGUUUAAAGGGUGCGUAGGCGGCCUAUUAAGUCAGGGGUGAAAGACGGUAGCUUAACUAUCGCAGUGCCUUUGAUACUGAUGGGCUUGAAUACACUAGAGGUAGGCGGAAUGUGACAAGUAGCGGUGAAAUGUAUAGAUAUGUCACAGAACACCAAUUGCGAAGGCAGCUUACUAUGGUGCAAUUGACGCUGAGGCACGAAAGCGUGGGGAUCAAACAGG